UACAGAGGUGGCAAGCGUUGUUCGGAAUUACUGGGCGGAAAGGGCGCGUAGGCGGCCUUGUAAGUCCUGGGUGAAAUCCCCCGGCUCAACUGGGGAACUGCACAGGAGACUGCUUGGCUUGAGUUCGGGAGAGGGAAGCGGAAUUCCGGGUGUAGCGGUGAAAUGCGUAGAUAUCCGGAGGAACACCGGUGGCGAAGGCGGCUUCCUGGACCGACACUGACGCUGAGGCGCGAAAGCCAGGGGAGCAAACGGG
rnacentral:rRNA from 1 species